GGGAAGCUGAGGGUUGGGAUGUGGAACUAGAGACAAGUGGGAGGGGCUGAGGGAAGCUGAGGGUUGGGAUGUGGAACUAGAGACAAGUGGGAGGGGCUGAGGGAAGCUGAGGGUUGGGAUGUGGAACUAGAGACAAGUGGGAGGGGUGCUGAGGGUUGGGAUGUGGAACUAGAGACAAGUGGGAGGGGUGCUGAGGGUUGGGAUGUGGAACUAGAGACAAGUGGGAGUGGAGCUGAGGGUUGGGAUGUGGAACUAGAGACAAGUGGGAGUGGAGCUGAGGGUUGGGAUGUGGAACUAGAGACAAGUGGGAGUGGAGUUGCUCUGUGGGAGAUAGAAUGAUGGCCAAAGAUAAAAGUCAAUAUAAAACAUUAAAAAAGUAUGUUUGAAUGACACUAAGUGGCAGUGUUUU
ensembl:lncRNA